rnacentral:RNase_P_RNA from 1 species
CGCCUGGGCGGCGCGAGCCGACGGAAAGUGCAACAGAAAGAUACCGCCCAAGCGGGGCAACCCGCCGGCAAGGGUGAAAUGGUGCGGUAAGAGCGCACCGCGCGGGUGGCAACACACCGCGGCUAGGCAAACCCCACCGGGCGCAAGGCCAAAUAGGGACGUCAUGACGUGGCCCGCGUCGCGUCCGGGUAGGUCGCUGGAGCCACGCGGUGACGCGUGGCCUAGAGGAAUGGCUGCCACGGUCGCGCAAGCGACCGCACAGAACCCGGCUUACCGGCUGACUCCGCCU